CUCCGGCAGCAGCACGCGGGAGGCGGGGCCGGAGGCUCCUCCGCCCCUCAGCCCGCCCACCCGCGGUCCCGCAGCGGCGCGCGGCUGACGCUCCCUCAGCGAUCCGGCCCUCCGCGGCUCCUGCGCGACCCCACGCAAAAGCGCCCCGUGCGAAGAGCGCGGCCAGCCAGUCCGCAAAGGGCCUCGGGCAGUGCGGGCAGCACGAACGGCGCGAUCGGGGAGCAGGCGCGGCUACGCUCCGCCUCAGUGAUGUCGCCGGGAGGAUCUCCGCGCGGCUACCUCCUCUUCCGCCGCCUUCCUCCCACGCCUUCACCUCCCUCCCCCGCCGCGCUCUGCGGCGAAAAGGAGCGGGCUCCCAGGCCACCUCCCCUCUCUCCACCCAGGGGCCGCGCGUCAGUGGACCUGCAGCCCAGGCAACGGGGCUGCGGACGGCGCGCGUGCCCUGCCUCGCCUCACGCCGGUAGCUGAUGCUCCCGCGGCAGCUGCCACCCCAGCGCCCCAGCCACGGCUUCAGAGGCUCUCGCACGCUGGCUUUUUUUUUUUCCCCCCGCUUUGGUGAACUCGCAGUACUUGGGCUGAGCCCGAAAUCUCGCGAGAUGCUGCAGGCGUCAGUGCGGCUUCCCACUAGGCGCGUGGUACCCGAGGCCGGGCCGGAGCCGCAGGCCAGCCGCGAUUCCUUCGGGCGAUGCUGGGGGCUUUCCGGUCGGGGCCGCAGCCGCUUCCGGAGCCGCGGGCGAGGUGCAAGCGGUCUUCUCUGUCUUCUUUAUGGCCAGUAAAAUUCUCCAGAAGAGAUUUAUGGCAGCCUCACUCCCAGUAGUUUCUGCAUUUAGUGAGAUAAGAUGGAAUCUUGCUCUCUUGCUCAGACUGGAGUGCAGUGGCAUGACCUUGGCUCACUGCAACCUCACCUCUCGGGUUCAAGCGAUUCUGCCUCAGCCUCUCGAGUAGCUGGGACUACAGGUGGGAGACCUCCACAGAACCCUUCCAGCAAGCUGUCUUCUAAAGCAAACAAGAAAAGGAAAGUCUGAGCAGUUUUGAUUAGAUUUCCCAGAAGUCAAAGCAAGGAAAAAUGAAAAAGCUUCAUUUCUCACGUUCUUAAAAGAGAGCACAGAUGUUGCAUCAUCUGGUUAGAUACCCUGAGAAUAAAAUCUGGAUCCAGUGAGAGGAAAGAUUCUGGGUGCUCAUGAAAAAAGAAACAAAACAAAACUUGGGAGCCUCUUGAGAGUGUACAGCAUCAGCCCUUGCCAACUCUUGUUUAUAUGCAUUUAACUUUCAGUUAACCAUGGGAAUAAUUCAUGAAAAUCCAAUCUACAAACAAAGGCCAUCCUAACGUUCAUGUUAUUCUUUUCCCUAAGAAUCUUUCACAAGAGCUAUAAUCAAGUAGAAUUAUGCUUUGAUUUGAAUUCUAAUUCAAUUGAAAAUAAAAAAUGAGGGCCGGACGCGGUGGCUCAUGCCUGUAAUCCCAGCGCUUUGGGAGGCUGAGGUGGACGGAUCACGAGGUCAGGAGAUCGAGACCAUCCUGGCUAACACGGUGAAACCCGAUCCCUACUAAAAAUACAAAAAAUUAGCCGGGCGUGGUGGCAGGCGCCUGUAGUCCCAGCUACUCGGGAGGCUGAGGCAGGAGAAUGGCGUGAACCCAGGAGGCAGAGGUUGCAGUGAGCCGAGAUCAUGCUACUGCACUCCAGCCUGGGCGACAGAGCGAGACUCUGUGUAUAAAUAAAUAAAUAAAUAAAUAAAUAACGAAAAGGUUGCCAUUGCCCUUUCUGGGGAAAGUGAUAAUGAGGAAAGACUAGUUUCUUAACCCAAGUCAGCUUUAGAGUCGGCAAGGAUGCAAUUUGAGGUGAUCCAGGAAAACUCUAUUAGCAUGGUAUAAGCCUGGUUUUGCAGUAUAUACAGCAAGCCAUAGGAAGUUUCAUUGGAAGCGUUGUGGAACUCAUUGAGAGUUGAAUGGAAGAAAGAACCUAUAGCAGAAAUUUCCAG
rnacentral:lncRNA from 10 species